GUACGAGGGGUGCAAGCGUUAAUCGGAAUUACUGGGCGUAAAGCGCGCGUAGGCGGUUUGCUAAGUCAGAUGUGAAAUCCCCGGGGCUCAACCUGGGAAUGGCAUUUGAGACUGGUAGGCUAGAAUGUGGUAGAGGUGAGUGGAAUUCCAGGUGUAGCGGUGAAAUGCGUAGAGAUCUGGAGGAACAUCAGUGGCGAAGGCGACUCACUGGGCCAUUAUUGACGCUGAGGUGCGAAAGCGUGGGUAGCAAACAGGAUUAGAUACCCUGGUAG
rnacentral:rRNA from 1 species